rnacentral:rRNA from 1 species
UUGACCUCAAAUCAGGUAGGACUACCCGCUGAACUUAAGCAUAUCAAUAAGCGGAGGAAAAGAAACUAACAAGGAUUCCCCUAGUAACUGCGAGUGAAGCGGGAAAAGCUCAAAUUUGAAAUCUGGCAGUCUUUUUUUUCUUCUUUGGCUGUCCGAGUUGUAAUCUAGAGAAGUGCUUACCUGCGCUGGACC